rnacentral:lncRNA from 1 species
AUGGACUGUUAACUAUAGCUAAAGCCAGCGAGCCGCCGAUAUGGUCGUUGAGCUCAGAGGCGGCUCUGUAACUUGCUUGGUACUGAACCAAGAAUACUGCUACUAUGGCUGUCCCAAUUGGGAAUUUCUUUAUCCUGAAAUGUCUUCUAUUGUCUCUUCUACUAGCAGGUUUCUCUUCUGAAGGAAAUGUCUUACGAGUCACUUGCGGAAUCGAGCUAGCUUUGGAACUGGUGUUGUUUCCAGACGAGGGAAGAGCUGUGUUUGAUGGAGUCCAAUAAUCUUCUCCAAGCAUGUAAGCUGAUCCUUUUUCUUUAGUUUUCCCCCCGCUCUGUUCUGCUUGUUUCAUUGCUGCCACAGCAUCUUGAAGCUUUCUGAUAUCUGGAUCAACUGUUUUUUUUCGUUUGGUGAAAGUUAGACUCAUGUUUGAAUCUGGACUCAACGGUUUCGUGUACGGUGAUGAUCUCCAGUAUAGCCAAUUGGAAAUGGACCUUAUUGCCUCUACUGCACUUAUUUGUACUUCUCUCUGCAAGUAUUAAUAUAACUACUUAUUAUCUGACAGGUAAGUUUAUAACUUGGCUUUUACUACUUCUUACUUCUUAGGAUAAUGGAUAACUCACCUGGGAAGUUUCUUUCGUGGUUCGGCUCAUGGCUUUGGCGUAUCUUUCUUGGAACUUCUUGACAUCAACAAAUACAUUGGAGACACGCUCGCCAACCGUGUUUCCAACCCCGAUUCUCACGUUGCCUCGUGGUUGCUUUGACAUAAGGAACUCUAAUGGAGCAAGGUCAGAUCUCUCCACCAUUCUGCACAUCUCAUAAAGAAUCAUACUUUAUGUAUUUCUCUAAAUGUCUCUCUUGACUUCACAUAUUGAGAGGGAAUUGAAACAAAACCAUUACUACAUGUCUACAUCUACUAGUUAUGUGCUUACGAAAUGCAGUCGACAAGGCAAGCUUCGAUGGCUUCUUUGAUUUUGGAUUCAGGAUCAGCCCAUUGAGCAACAACCCUCGCUCUCCCGUAAGCAGUUUCAAUAGCAAAUGUUUUCUCUGCACACAAAGCACACUUUAAGCAACCAACACACUUAACCUCGUCAACAAAUGCAGCUCGUUGCUCUGUUUCUGGUCCACACCAAACCGAAUAGAUCGGUUUCCCUGUGUAUCCUCUGAGUUCUUCCAGUUUUGCUUGCUCCUACAACAAGAAAGUUUCAUAUUUACUUGGUGUGCCCUUGACAGAGACUACAAGAAUCAAUAUAAGAGCUAACCUUGUCAUAAGCUUGACGCGUGAUCGGAUCAGAGAGAAGCUGGUAAGCCUCGUUAAGGAUGAUGGCCAUGUCGUGACC